AGCAAACAGGAUUAGAUACCCUGGUAGUNCACGCCGUAAACGAUGAGUGCUAGGUGUUAGACCCUUUCCGGGGUUUAGUGCCGCAGCUAACGCAUUAAGCACUCCGCCUGGGGAGUACGACCGCAAGGUUGAAACUCAAAGGAAUUGACGGGGGCCCGCACAAGCGGUGGAGCGUGUGGUUUAAUUCGAAGCAACGCGAAGAACCUUACCAGGUCUUGACAUCCCUCUGACCGCUCUAGAGAUAGAGUUUUCCUUCGGGACAGAGGUGACAGGUGGUGCAUGGUUGUCGUCAGCUCGUGUCGUGAGAUGUUGGGUUAAGUCCCGCAACGAGCGCAACCCCUAUUGUUAGUUGCCAUCAUUCAGUUGGGCACUCUAGCGAGACUGCCGGUAAUAAACCGGAGGAAGGUGGGGAUGACGUCAAAUCAUCAUGCCCCUUAUGACCUGGGCUACACACGUGCUACAAUGGCUGGUACAACGAGUCGCAAGCCGGUGACGGCAAGCUAAUCUCUUAAAGCCAGUCUCAGUUCGGAUUGUAGGCUGCAACUCGCCUACAUGAAGUCGGAAUCGCUAGUAAUCGCGGAUCAGCACGCCGCGGUGAAUACGUUCCCGGGCCUUGUACACACCGCCCGUCACACCACGAGAGUUUGUAACACCCGAAGUCGGUGAGGUAACCAUUUGGAGCC
rnacentral:rRNA from 1 species